rnacentral:rRNA from 1 species
CUACCCUCGGGUGGGGAAUAACUCUUCGAAAGGAGAGCUAAUGCCGACAUGUGCAUCACUUUCGCAAGGAAGUGCUGGAAAGCCGUAUCGUGGAUACGGCGCCCAAGGAUGAGCUCACGUCCUAUCAGCUUGUUGGCGGGGUAACGGCCCACCAAGGCUGCGACGGGUAGCUGGUCUGAGAGGACGACCAGCCACACUGGCACUGCGACACGGGCCAG